UAUCAAUAAGCUGGUAGCAAACGGGUCCCUUGCGGUUGCUCGAGUUGGAACUUGAAGAUCCUUUUCUGGUACUGGCCCUUGCUCUAUGUUCCUUGGAACAGGACGUCAUAACAGGGUGAGAAUCCCGUCUGAUGGGGUGUCCAGUGCUUUGUAGAUUUCUAUCGAAGAGUCGAGUUGUUUGGGAAUGCAGCUCUAACUGGGUGGCAAAUUCCAUCUAAAGCUAAAUCCUGGCGAGAGACCGAUAGCGAACAAGUACAGUGAUGGAAAGAUGAAAAGAACUUUGAAAAGAGAGUGAAAAAGUACGUGAAAUUGUUGAAAGGGAAGGGUAUUGGAUCAGACUUGGUGUUUUGUGAUUAUCUUCCCUUCUUGGGUUGUGCACUCNCAUUUCACUGGGCCAGCAUCGGUUCCGAUGGCAAGAUAAUGGCUUGGGAACGUGGCACUCUUCGGAGUGCGUUAUAUCCCUUGUUGAUGUUGCCUAUCUGGACCGAGGACUGCGGCUUCUGCCUAGGAUGCUGGCGUAAUGAUUCCAUACC
rnacentral:rRNA from 1 species